rnacentral:misc_RNA from 1 species
ACUAUACGACGUUUUGUUUAGAGAUGUAGUACGCGCAAACGCUCCGCGAUCAUUGUAUAUUUUAUUUGUUAAAAGUAUUGAGCCACCGUAAAUUUGUGUCAGGAGUAUCGAUUAAUGUAACGGGCGAUCGCCGGAAUGUGUUGUUUACCGCGAGUGUUUACGGUUUAUGGUAUGUAUUUACGGUACUUCGUCAAUCGUCAAUCGUCAAUCGUACCGGUAUUUGUUCAAUGUGAACUUCGUGAGUACAGAUUCCGAUUAAAAUGAUAUGUAUAUUCGCUCAACAGAUUCAAAGUGCAAUUUAUGUAAUUUUCGUUAAAUGUGGUAUCUUAAAAAUUCAGUCGAUUGGAUUUAUAUCGACAAAAUAUGGUUGUGUUGUGCAUGUGACGACCUCCACAUGACCGCCAAGGUAGUUGCCGUUCGUUUCGCUUACUCGGAAUGUGUACAGUAUCGCAUGGACCAUCGACGGCAUAUAAGGUUACAAUUAUUUACGCGAACGUGUCGCGACACAAAGUGCGUUUUAUCUAGCGUUUGCGUUUCAUGUGUAGCGGCGUGACAAACUCGCGACGUGCAUUCGUGACUUUCAUUCGAUAGUGCGUGUGGUAAACUACUAAGUAUAACUUUCCGAUAUUCAUUGACUUUUCGACAAAACUGAUGCGGAACAAAAAACCUGUAGCGGAUGAAAUAGCAAUAAUUUCGCUGGUACAGUUGAAGGCGUAUUUUAGCUAGGGUACGACAAUAUCGGGUUUCGUUUUCCGUUCUACAAUUGGAUUGUGUCGCAACGGGGACUUCUAGCAGAUACUUCAAUAUUCAUCUGGCGUUCUAAAGUAUACGAAACGAACGAUCGCAUCGCUCUCUACCAAGUGCUGCUCGAACGAGUCGCGAUUUCAACAGGACCAGUCUUUCGGCCACGCGCUUUCGUGUUGUCGGUGUGCUUAAUCCACGUGAUGAGUGUGUGCUACUCGCGCUAAGAUUUCGAGCCGCCUCGAACGUAGUUCGUGAACCAUUACGAGAGCGUCUUGUGUCAUUCGCGAUACGUACGGCCGAGACUUUCGGAGUAACCUGUUCACGCACGUACGGUAGAGUUUGAGGGGUGACACCUUCAAACCGCAAGCGUACAAUAAUCCUGUCUUCCUCAAGGAUAAACGAGACUGAGCGAAGGCACCGACAACCGGUCGCCAAAAGAAUUCCCAUGAAAAUGUUACAGUCACUGAACGCUCUGGCGGGUAAAAUCUCGCCAGGCUCUCCCACUGACAGCAACGCCAACAAGGUACACAUGCAUAACAACAACAAUAAUAACAACAACGUAGUGCAUCACCAUCCCUACUCCAAGCAGGCCCAGCCGUCCCCAUCGCACUCGGCCAACGGCGACCAGAAAGAAAACACCAUAAUGAACAACAACAGUGUGGAGCAGCCGGAUCCGGACAACAUAAAGAUGUUCGUGGGGCAGGUACCUCACGACAUGGACGAGAAUGACCUAAGGACGAUGUUUGAAGAAUACGGUCGAGUGCAUCAGAUAAAUAUUCUGCGGGAUAAAAUCACCGGCAGCCAUAGAGGAUGUUGCUUUGUCACCUUUUACACUAGAAAAGCGGCGUUGGCAGCGCAGAACGCUCUUCAUAACGUCAAGACCUUUAGUGGGAUGCGCCAUCCGAUCCAGAUGAAACCGGCCGACAGCGAGAAUCGGAACGAGCGUAAACUGUUUGUCGGCAUGCUGUCAAAAAAGUUCACGGAGAACGACGUUAGAAACAUGUUCAGCGCUUACGGGAUGAUCGAGGAAUGCUCGGUGCUGAGGGACAGCACCGGGAAGAGUAAAGCCUGUGCCUUUGUUACCUUCGCUAGUAAACAGUACGCGAUCAACGCCAUCAAAGCUCUGCAUCAUUCCCAGACAAUGGAGGGCUGUUCGUCGCCGUUAGUCGUAAAAUUUGCCGACACGCAAAAGGAAAAGGAUCAGAAGAGGAUGCAACAACUCCAGUCGAAUCUCUGGAACAUUGCGGGAGUCAACAUCACGCCGCAUUACCUGACCAAUGACGCGCAUACCCUGGCACCUGCGUCGCUGCAGCUGUUGCAGCAGUUGCAAGCGACAACGAGUGCCGCGACUCCAGUUGCCGCGAAUACAGGGGCCACGAAUGCAUUGUCGAAUGUGCAACAUCAGUUACUGUUACAACAACACCUUGGCCUUGGAGCGGCGACACCUGCGCAUGCAGCGCCUCCCGCAGUGCCCAGUCCGGCGGAGAUCAACCCUGCGAAUCUACAAAGUCUAGCCACCCUCGCGUCUCUGAGCAAUACCGCCGGUGAGUAUGCGAACGCGGGCGUGUCGCCGAUGAGUAUGCAGAAUCUCGUCACCCUGGCAGCUAUGACGGGCGGAAAUGGCAACCUCCAGGUGUCGCCAAACACGUUAAGCGGCCUGGCGAAUUCAACAGCAGGUAUGUCGCUAUCUGCCCUUCUGGGGAAAACAGGAAAUACAGGGUCUACCGGGGGCAGUCUUAGUCCUGUGACAUCCCUCACGCUCAAUUCUUUGACGGGGACACCGCUGAACGGGCUUCAGGACUCGCUGAGCAAUGCCUAUUCCAGUUUGCAACAAUACGCAGGGUUCCCCGCGUUUACGGCGGCUGCGGCUGCCGCGGCAGCAGCGGCGCAAAAGACAAAGUUCACCAGCACGGACAAGCAGAUCGAGGGUCCCGAAGGUUGCAACCUCUUCAUCUACCAUCUACCGCAAGAAUUCAGUGACACGGACCUCAUCUCUACCUUUUUACCCUUCGGCAAUGUCAUAUCCGCCAAAGUUUUUAUAGAUAAGCACACGCACAUGAGCAAAUGCUUCGGUUUCGUAUCGUAUGACAAUGCGUCGAGCGCGCAAGCGGCGAUCCAAACGAUGCACGGUUUCCAGAUCGGCAUGAAACGACUGAAGGUCCAGUUGAAACGAUCCAAGGACGCCUCCAAGCCGUACUAGCCGAUGUCACAGAGCGUUCGUAGGUAGAUACCAAGGACUUCUCGGACACCUCGGACAUCUUAAUCGGGACAACGCUCGUGGCCUGUGACGUUGUGACCGUGUACUCUCGAUCGGAGUCGCCGUGCCAUGUCAGUCUCAGUCAGUCAAAUCGGUAUCGAUCGUUCACUCGACCGGCCGAUCGAUCAGUCACGAUUACCCGGUCAAUCUCUCGAUCAAUCUAUCUGUGUCUGUCGGUGCCUGUACAAAGAACAACACCCGCCCACGCGCUCUCACUUUCGCCGUAAGAUCCUCUGCCCUGUCGAUCUCUUUUCUCUCUUCAUCUCAUCUCUUUGAUCUUUCGCGCGUCCACAUCACCUGUCUACGAAAUCGCGAUAUAUUAUCGCGCCGAAAGGAUUGCCACCGAUCCUUCAAAAGUUGCGCUUUGUCCUCUUGAUCGCGGCUGCGCACGUGAAACGCCGAACGCAUCCUCAAACUCAGAGGAGAAAUUAAUAUGUUGGACGUAUGAAAAGCCGCGACCGAGAAACUGCGCACAACUGCGCGCAGAGGAACACGACGAAGAGGGCCAAGAAAGUGGAACGAAAAGCGGAGGACAAUGCACCGACGAUCGAGCUGGGUUCCUCGAACGAAGCUACACGCUAUAUUAAUUGUCUGUCCAAUUUUCCCCUGUGUAUAUAUAUACAGAUAUAUAAAUAUAUUAUACAAAUAUUGUACAUACACAUAUAUAUGUACGUGUGUAUGGUAUGACGUGUGUAUUCGCGUGUGUCGAGAGCGCGAUAAGGAUUCUCGUGGCUGCGAUGAAAGAGAACGAAAGGUCGAAAAACGUACAGCACGAGUUGUGCGAAAAAUUUCUUAUACAUAAAUAUACAUAUAUAUAUAAAUAUAUAUAGGUAUACAUAUAUGUUCAUAAAUCGAAUUAUUGACUGAGAACUAUUUUUAUCGGCUCUACUGUCGGGAUCGCUGUCAGCGCCUCGCAGCGCCUGUUUAUAUUUAUAAAAUAUACAUACACACACAUAUAUAUGCGCCGCGGCGAAUUAAUCGUGUCGGCGAGAUGAAACGUGUGUGUAUAAAAAAAAAACGCGAGAGACAGAGGCUGGGAAGGAAACGCGGACGAACAAUGAUCGUGCGGGAUCGGCGCGCGUGCGAUUUCUUAGACUUAGAUCGUGCAAAACAUACCAAAAAACGAAACUGAUACAAAGAAAGAAACAAGACCGAGAAGUAGCGGAGAAGCGAGCAUAAGAGACACAUUUUGUAGUAAUUUGUGAUAAGAUUGUAUUGUAAAAGGGACCGGACAUAGGGCCGCGUUCUGACCUUGUGUGAAACUCGAUGGUUCCAUGUGGAACUACCGGGUCAGAUCGCUCAGAAGUAACACAUCAAGCGUCACGUAUUCGCGCGUUAAUGCACACGUUCCAUUCUAUAUUGUCAUCAGAAACAUUCGUGAACUUAAACAAGUACUCGAGAUGCGACAAAUUUUUACGAAUUUUAACGAGUUUUCACUGAUUCGGCGCACUCUUAUUAUUCUUUUCGUUAAGUGCAUUUUACGCGAUUAGUUUUAAUUCUUCGCGAAAAACUGGAUAUGGGACUGAUCGGACGAAUGGAAAACUUUCAUAUACCGACGCAGUAUGCAAAA